GCUCCGGUGGUGUAGUGGUAGUAACACGCGUCUCCAGUAUAGACGAAACGCGGAUUCAAGUCCCACUUGAGGUC